UUAGGUAGGGGCCUGGAAAUCUUAACUGGAAUGAUACAAAGAAGAUUAGCAUGGUCCCUGCACAAGUUUGACGUGCAGUGGCCAGAUUUUUAAAAAAUGCUA